CGGCCGCGAAAUUCGCCCUUAGAGUUUGAUCAUGGCUCAGAUUGAACGCUGGCGGCAGGCCUAAGACAUGCAAGUCGAACGGUAACGACACUAGCUUGCUAGUGGGCGACGAGUGGCGGACGGGUGAGUAACGCGUAGGAAUCUACCUAGUAGUGGGGGAUAGCCAAGGGAAACUUUGGGUAAUACCGCAUACGAUCUACGGAUGAAAGGGGGCCUCUCUUUGAAGCUCUCGCUAUUAGAUGAGCCUGCGUAAGAUUAGCUUGUUGGUGGGGUAAUGGCUCACCAAGGCGACGAUCUUUAGCUGGUCUGAGAGGAUGAUCAGUCACACUGGAACUGAGACACGGUCCAGACUCCUACGGGAGGCAGCAGUCGGGAAUAUUGGACAAUGGGGGAAACCCUGAUCCAGCCAUGCCGCGUGUGUGAAGAAGGCUCUAGGGUUGUAAAGCACUUUUAGUAGUGAGGAAGGCUCAGUAGUUAAUACCUACUGGGAUUGACGUUAGCUACAGAAAAAGCACCGGCUAAUUUCGUGCCAGCAGCCGCGGUAAUACGAAAGGUGCAAGCGUUAAUCGGAAUUACUGGGCGUAAAGCGCGCGUAGGCGG
rnacentral:rRNA from 1 species